rnacentral:ncRNA from 2 species
GAACGCCGUAUGAGGUGAAAGUCUCACGUACGGUGUGAAGAGGGGGAAAAGCCAGAGAUAACCUCAAAGGCUUACCUAUCUCUAU